rnacentral:rRNA from 1 species
AUAGGUGAAGAACUCUGGAAUGAGUCUUUGCCAAAAAGACGUUUACGUUAUGCUCGUAGGCGUCGCCCAAGGAUGAGGCCGCGACCGAUCAGGUUGUUGGUGAGGUAAUGGCUCACCAAGCCUUUUACCGGUGCGGGCCGUGAGAGCGGGAGCCCGGAGAUGGGCACUGAGACACGAAUCCAGGCCCUACGGGGUGCAGCAGGCGCGAAAACUUUACAAUGCUGGAAACAGCGAUAAGGGGACCUCGAGUGCCAGGUUACAAAUCUGGCUGUCGUGAUGCCUAAAAAGCAUUGCAUAGCAAGGGCCGGGCAAGACCGGUGCCAGCCGCCGCGGUAACACCGGCGGCUCGAGUGGUAACCGUUAUUAUUGGGUCUAAAGGGUCUGUAGCCGGCCGGAUAAGUCUCUUGGGAAAUCCAGCAGCUCAACUGUUGGGCUUUCAGGAGAUACUGUCUGGCUCGAGGCCGGGAGAGGUGAGAGGUACUUCAGGGGUAGGGGUGAAAUCUUGUAAUCCUUGAAGGACCACCAGUGGCGAAGGCGUCUCACCAGAACGGACCUGACGGCAAGGGACGAAAGCUAGGGGCACGAACCGGAUUAGAUACCCGGGUAGUCCUAGCCGUAAACGAUACUCGCUAGGUGUCGGCCACGGUGCGACCGUUGUCGGUGCCGUAGGGAAGCCGUGAAGCGAGCCACCUGGGAAGUACGGCCGCAAGGCUGAAACUUAAAGGAAUUGGCGGGGGAGCACCAC